CUUAAUGUAAAUAACUAUUGUUCUUAUACAUAUGAAAAAUAGGAGACUAAACCUGUUUUACGUUUCAGUUUUUUUUAAAUAAAGCGUAUCAGUAACAAAAUCGCGGAUGCAAAAUUCGUAGAAUAAUUAUUUAAACGUUUUCUCCCUUUCAAAAUUAUUUGCAAAAUUUACUUUUUCAUAGUUAAUUUUUAUGGGGAACCAAACGAUGACACCAAUCACCUUUUGUAAAUUUAUUUUUAUUGAUUUUUAAUUUAUCAAUAUCUCUUAAAUCGUCUUUCACUUGUAUUUUUUUCUCUUGAGAGGAGGCAAUGGCACAGUUAUUAAAAGCAGCUAGUAACGCAAUUUCCAUUAAGUUAAAUAAGCCGAAAUAAGCAAGCGGAAUUUUAAAUUCUUUCGUAUUUCUUUAGCCGUCCGUUGCCAUGACGGCUGGAAAGCGCCGGAAAAAGUCGACUGCAUUCGUUUACAGAUGCUCCGCCGGAUGGUGUGUGGCGAUUGAUCCAGGAGAUAUUUAUCCACAGCGGCCAUCAGUGGAGCAGCCAAAUUUUUUAUUGCUGUUGAAGACAAACGUCCAGUGGCCUAGAUGAAACGGAGAAUCACUUGGAAUACGUUCGGCUCAACGUUUUGAAUUUCAAAACUAUAUUAGUCAAAUUUUCUACGGUUGCAUGGGCAAACAUCGCAGCAAACACCGGACUUCUUUCAGCUAAAAUGUUCUUGUGGACCUCAAAUUUUAAAAAGUUACGUACGCUUAAAACAACAUCACUCGAAAUUAAUUUUGGUAAUUUUGCAUUUCGACCAGUGAGAUACCGGUACUGCGACUACUGGGGGAAAUCGGUCCAAUUCUAUCACUUGAUUCUUGGGUAUUAAGUGUUCCCUGAGAGCGCAUCGCUCCUUGCUUAGUACGUGUUAGCUGAGAGUACAUCACAAACACUGCAGAUAAUCAAUGAAAAAAGCAGCGAAGUAGGAAGACGAAAGCUUACGACUUCUCGAAACAGAAACUAGGACACUGUGAUGCUACUUGAGACCAAUGCGCUAUUUAUGAAACAUGGUCGUUGUAUUAUAAAAUCCCAAUAGAUUGUGUUCAUCAGCAAUUGCUAGAUUUCAAGAACAAACUUUCUUAUUGUCGGACAGUGAUGAGUGGGGUCUUA